rnacentral:rRNA from 1 species
UACGUAGGGGUGCAAGCGUGUCCGGAAUUAUUGGGCGUAAAGAGCUCGUAGGCGGUCUGUUACGUCGGCUGUGAAAACUCGGAGCUCAACUCCGAGCCUGCGUUCGAUACUGGACGGCUAGAGUCUGGUAGGGGGAUCUGGAAUUCCUGGUGUAGCGGUGGAAUGCGCAGAUAUCAGGAGGAACACCGGUGGCGAAGGCGGGAUCCUGGGCCAGUACUGACGCUGAGGAGCGAAAGCGUGGGGAGCGAACAGG